AUUCAUUAAUCAAAGGAGAGAAGUUAUCAUUUAAGUUUAUGAAUUAUUACCAUGAAUUAUACUUAUUUUGAGAAUUAGUUCUAAAAUUGAUAGGCAAAGUAAUGAUACCAUGUGAAGAAAAAAUAAGUUAUAAAAGAGAGUUUAAGACUUCAAGAAUAAGAAGCCAUCACAUUAUAUAUACUUUUCACCAUCAUUUUUAAAAUACAAAUAAUGUUAUUUCAAAUAAUCAAUAAACAUUAUAUAUAUCAUAUGUAAUCAAACAUAUAUAUAUUAAAUAUGCCAAUAUCUACAACAAACGUUUACACAAUCCUAACAUUUACAAUAUUUAUUUCUCAUUCAUCUGACAUGAACAUGGAUAUCCAUGACAUCAAUUUUGGCAUCCAUGUGUAUUGGGACAUCAAUACCACUCUUUUUCCACCUCAUUAUCUUUUUACUAUUUCUGAGAAAAUUUUUGUUGCUCUCUACUAAAUUGAUAACAUAUUACUUUUUAAAAAAAGUUGUGGAAUAUAGUGAUUAUAACCCCUAUGGUGGUAAGGAUCGGUUUCUACAUGAAGCUUUUUGAGUGAAACUCGAACAACAGGAAGAAAGACUGUGUUAUUACCUCCGAUGUCUAGGAGUACGACCCCUGCAAGUACAUAAAACUAAUUUAUUAAAACAAGUAAAAAACAAUUAUAUU
rnacentral:sRNA from 1 species